rnacentral:rRNA from 1 species
GACGAACGCUGGCGGCGUGCUUAACACAUGCAAGUCGAACGGAAAGGCCCUGCUUUUGUGGGGUGCUCGAGUGGCGAACGGGUGAGUAACACGUGAGUAACCUGCCCUUGACUUUGGGAUAACUUCAGGAAACUGGGGCUAAUACCGGAUAGGAGCACCUGCUGCAUGGUGGGGGUUGGAAAGUUUCGGCGGUUGGGGAUGGACUCGCGGCUUAUCAGCUUGUUGGUGGGGUAGUGGCGUACCAAGGCUUUGACGGGUAGCCGGCCUGAGAGGGUGACCGGCCACAUUGGGACUGAGAUACGGCCCAGACUCCUACGGGAGGCAGCAGUGGGGAAUAUUGCACAAUGGGGGGAAGCCUGAUGCAGCGACGCCGCGUGCGGGAUGACGGCCUUCGGGUUGUAAACCGCUUUCUCCUGUGACGAAGCGUGAGUGACGGUAAUGGGUAAAGAAGCACCGGCUAACUACGUG